rnacentral:rRNA from 1 species
GAGUUUGAUCAUGGCUCAGAACGAACGCUGGCGGCGUGCCUAACACAUGCAAGUCGAGGGAGAAAGCCGCAAGGUGAGUAAACCGGCGAACGGGUGCGUAACACGUGGACAACCUACCUCAGUGACUGGGAUAACUGGCCGAAAGGCUUGCUAAUACCAGAUAAGCCCACGAUGUCUUCGGACGUUGAGGGAAAAGGCGGCCUCUGUAAACAAGCUGUCACAUUGAGAUGGGUCCGCGGCCCAUCAGCUAGUUGGCGGGGUAACGGCCCACCAAGGCGACGACGGGUAGCUGGUCUGAGAGGAUGAUCAGCCACACUGGAACUGAGACACGGUCCAGACUCCUACGGGAGGCAGCAGUGGGGAAUCUUGCGCAAUGGGCGAAAGCCUGACGCAGCAACGCCGCGUGUGUGAUGAAGGUCUUCGGAUCGUAAAGCACUGUCGCGAGGGAAGACGAGCUGGAACCUAACACGUUCCGGAAGAGACGGUACCUCGAGAGGAAGCACCGGCUAACUCUGUGCCAGCAGCCGCGGUAAUACAGAGGGUGCGAGCGUUGUUCGGAAUUAUUGGGCGUAAAGCGCUUGUAGGCGGCUUGUUAAGUCCUGUGUGAAAGCCCUAGGCUUAAC